UAAGAGGGUAGUUAAGUUUUAAAUGUAUAUACUAUUUUUAAAUUCAGAUCUCAACAUAUACCCUAACACUAAGUCGUAUGUAAAUGUAUAAAAGGGAUAGGAAGUAGGUUUGAAAUUUUAAAACAAAUGAAAAAUAGAUAUAUGAAAAAAGAAAGGAAAUAGAAAAAGGAAACUAUAUACUUAUUUUAGAAAAAUGUAAUACAUUACAGAGAAC
rnacentral:lncRNA from 1 species